rnacentral:rRNA from 1 species
UACAGAGGAUGCAAGCGUUAUCCGGAAUGAUUGGGCGUAAAGCGUCUGUAGGUGGCUUUUUAAGUCCGCCGUCAAAUCCCAGGGCUCAACUCUGGACAGGCGGUGGAAACUACCAAGCUGGAGUACGGUAGGGGCAGAGGGAAUUUCCGGUGGAGCGGUGAAAUGCGCAGAUAUCAGGAGGAACACCGGUGGCGAAGGCGGUUCUCUGGGCCUGUACUGACGCUGAGGAGCGAAAGCGUGGGGAGCGAACAGG